UACGUAGGUGGCAAGCGUUAUCCGGAUUUACUGGGUGUAAAGGGCGAGUAGGCGGGAUUGCAAGUCAGAUGUGAAAACUAUGGGCUCAACCGUUAGAGUGCAUUUGAAACUGCAGCUCUUGAGUGAUGGAGAGGCAGGCGGAAUUCCCGGUGUAGCGGUGGAAUGCGUAGAUAUCGGGAGGAACACCAGUGGCGAAGGCGGCCUGCUGGACAUUAACUGACGCUGAGGCGCGAAAGCGUGGGGAGCAAACAGG
rnacentral:rRNA from 1 species